rnacentral:lncRNA from 1 species
AUCACAUAUAUAAAAAAAACUAUCGAUAAUAUAUAUAUAAAUAAACUCACUCUGCGCAAGGCGCAUCUCUUAUCCUAGUUUCAAAUUAAAAGACAGAGUUAAUCAUGCCUUGAGAGACUUGUUUCCCAAUCAAUUUUUCUUAUUUGAAAAUAACAAAAAUCUAUACAUAGUUUAAUAGACACGUACCUUAUGCAUACACAUAUUGCAUAAUUACUUAUAACAAUUUUUUUAUUCUUUGAAAUCAAUCAAAACUUAAAAAAAAAAAAGGAAUUGGAUGGGAAUCUUAUUACAUGCCAACAAAUUCGUUUUAACCACCGAAAUCGCCGCCAUAACCACUGCCUAGACAUGCGAUGCUUUCUUUGCCAUCUUUCUUAGCUUUGUGGUAGAGAAAGUGAGUUAGCCAUAAGAGGAACAUGAACAAGAGAAGCCCUCCAAACGCUAUAAACAAAAUCCCCACAGGGUUCAUCUUUAAUUCUUCUUGCUCGUAGUGAUUUUACCUUCACUUUUCAUAUAGGGGAAUAAGAAGAGGUGUAUUUAUAUAGAGAGAUGAUGAGCCUAUCACUGACUUAAUUUUAUAAACCAACUCGUUCAUUUUGU